GUUGCAUCAGUGCCGGGAGGUUCCUUUCAUUUCAGGUUCUUUUUGAAUUACUCCUAAGGGUUAUAUUGCUCAGGGAUAAGGGUAUGAGUCUUGGUCGUCUUAACCUCUUGAUCUUCACAUCUUUUUACCAGGAAUGCUAGGAAUUGUAGGAACUGGUAAUUAGGGACAAGCUUAUUUACCGAGGGAUCGGGUUUAAGUGAUUUAGUGAGGGACGCUAGCAUUAAUGCAUAAAGAAAAAUUCUUAUAUACAUAAGAGGAAAACUUGGUGAAAUCUAGCCCCAACAACAUGUCCAUCUCAUAUAAAUCAACCUUCUUUCAUCUCUGUGCUCCUUUGCCAUUGAUUAAUUGCAUUUUAUUUUAUUAUUUUUGCCAAACCCAAUGAUAUCUUUUUAUUUUUAAGUCUUAAUUAAUCUUGUUUUCACACAACUGUUCAGUGUUGAGAGUCCUCUGGGAUAAGAUACUUGGUAUUACCAUUUUAUAUUACUUGUGUGACUCGGUACACUUUCCGAUUUGUCCCAACACUCUCCUUGUCAUUAUGCAUAUUUUCACAGCAG
rnacentral:lncRNA from 1 species